UACUCCUACGGGAGGCAGCGUGGGGAAUUUUGGACAAUGGGCGCAAGCCUGAUCCAGCCAUGCCGCGUGCAGGAUGAAGGCCUUCGGGUUGUAAACUGCUUUUGUACGGAACGAAAAGACUCCUUCUAAUAAAGGGGGUCCAUGACGGUACCGUAAGAAUAAGCACCGGCUAACUACGUGCCAGCAGCCGCGGUAAUACGUAGGGUCGAGCGUUAAUGGAAUUACUGGGCGUAAAGCGUGCGCAGGCGGUUAUAUAAGACGAUGUGAAAUCCCCGGGCUCAACCUGGGAACUGCAUUUGGACGUAUAGCUAGAGUACGGUAGAGGGGGAUGGAAUUCCGCGUGUAGCAGUGAAAUGCGUAGAUAUGCGGAGGAACACCGAUGGCGAAGGCAAUCCCCUGGACCUGUACUGACGCUCAUGCACGAAAGCGUGGGGAGCAAACAGGAUUAGAUACCCUGGUAGUCCACGCCCUAAACGAUGUCAACUGGUUGUUGGGUCUUCACUGACUCAGUAACGAAGCUAACGCGUGAAGUUGACCGCCUGGGGAGUACGGCCGCAAGGUUGAAACUCAAAUGAAUGACGG
rnacentral:rRNA from 1 species